UUUUGAAAGCAUGACUCAAGCACAUUAGCCCUGUCUAUGCGAGUGCUAACUACUAACAUAGUUCACAGUCUAAUCUGUCUUCAUACAGCAUCUAGCUUUCUCUCGUCCGCUCCGUCAGACGUAAACAGAAGAGAAAAAAAACCACAAUAUUGACUCUGAAUGGUAGAAGCUGAAGCAGUUCUUCAAAGCCGUGACUCACACUGAGCAACGUGUCAGAGCUGAGAAAUCGAAGACGUCGAGCAGUUGGCAGGCUGGCUAACUGAGCCUGGAAGGAAGUCCGUUGAGGCCUGGCUCGGUUCUGCUUGGAAGCCUUGGAAGGCCGAACUGCAAAGCUGAGGCGGCGAGGAUUUAUUGUAAACCACAAGGAUGGAAAAUGUUACCAUAUUCCAAGGGGCUCACAUGUCUGCGUGAAACAAGAAGAAGGAGAAGAGUAUAGAUCCAGGAAAGUUAGAGCUGACUGGAGAGGAUCCCGCUGUCGCUAAAGGCAACCAGAGUCAGCACAUUGUCAGUUAUAAAUCUCGCAUUACGCAAAUAACACAGUAGUACAUACUGUAUUCAUAGGCACUGAAAGCUUUGGAAGUGGGAGCUGUAAAGGCUAUAACUGAUUUAUCUUAAUUUGACUUCCAAUGGCAGUGUUAUAAAUCGCACACACAACACAAAUCCUUGAUAAUUCUUCUUAAAACAAUGUUAUCGAUCCAGCAGAUGCAGAUCAUCCAAGUUGAUUUUUUUUCUUUUUUCUUUUUUUUUUUUUCUGGACACGCGCCACUAGUUGCUAGACAGAGUUUUUGGGUUGUCCCAUAAGCUAAUGAAAAGCCACGCUAAAGGAACUGCCACCUAAAUAUGAGACCACUUUUUGUUUGCAUUGGAAUCAGUGCACUGUAUUAAAUAUAAUACAAUUUGCUACUAAUUACCAUCCAAAGCAAAUAAAAUUGCAGGGUUUUUUUCUGCACAAACUGGGAGGAAGGCCAAUUACUUUCAAACAGAGCAUCAAUCACUUUUUCUCUCAACGACAAAACAAUUCAUACAAUCAGUCUUUUCUGCUCUGUUAUCCUCAGCCCGUCUGUGUCUCUUUGUCUGAGCACCUGUUGUUUUUGUGGAAAGUGCUGUUCAUUAUCCCCCCUGCAUCGUUUUUCCUGAUGUACACAUCUUUCAGCUUGCUGCUUUGAGCCUUGAGAUGCUCCUUAUGAAUAUUUAACUUCCCUUGCCUAGUACAUGUACUGGCUGAUUAGUCUUAUUGCUUCUUACGCAGACUAUCUUUUUCUUUCUGUGUGAAAUGUAAGAUCGGACGAGAAUUAGUCCAUUUAGAUAAAAGCUUUAUGUGACUGUAGCUGAUAGGCAAUACAGUUUAUUAUAUUACAUAAGAUUUGCCUUUUACAGUGAGCCUUUUAUAAGAGUUUGAAAAGCCUUAGCAUAUCAUUGCAGGCGAUUCA